GGUUUCGGCUGACACUUACAGAUGGGCCCGCGGCGCAUUAGCUAGUUGGUGAGGUAACGGCUCACCAAGGCGACGAUGCGUAGCCGACCUGAGAGGGUGAUCGGCCACACUGGGACUGAGACACGGCCCAGACUCCUACGGGAGGCGAGCAGUAGGGAAUCUUCCGCAAUGGACGAAAGUCUGACGGAGCAACGCCGCGUGAGGCGAUGAAGGCCUUCGGGUCGUAAAGCUCUGUUGUUAGGGAAGAACAAGUACCGGAGUAACUGCCGGUACCUUGACGGUACCUAACCAGAAAGCCACGGCUAACUACGUG
rnacentral:rRNA from 1 species